rnacentral:rRNA from 1 species
UGGGGAAUUUUGGACAAUGGGCGAAAGCCUGAUCCAGCAAUGCCGCGUGUGUGAAGAAGGCCUUCGGGUUGUAAAGCACUUUUGUCCGGAAAGAAAUCCUUGGCUCUAAUACAGUCGGGGGAUGACGGUACCGGAAGAAUAAGCACCGGCUAACUACGUGCCAGCAGCCGCGGUAAUACGUAGGGUGCAAGCGUUAAUCGGAAUUACUGGGCGUAAAGCGUGCGCAGGCGGUUUGCUAAGACCGAUGUGAAAUCCCCGGGCUCAACCUGGGAACUGCAUUGGUGACUGGCAGGCUAGAGUAUGGCAGAGGGGGGUAGAAUUCCACGUGUAGCAGUGAAAUGCGUAGAGAUGUGGAGGAAUACCGAUGGCGAAGGCAGCCCCCCUGGGGCCAAAUACUGACGCUCAUGCAACGAAAAGCGUGGGGGAGCAAAACAGGAUUAGAUACCCUGGUAGUCCACGCCCUAAAACGAUGUCAACUAGUUGUUGGGGAUUCAUUUCCUUAGUAACGUAGCUAACGCGUGAAGUUGACCGCCUGGGGAGUACGGUCGCAAGAUUAAAACUCAAAGGAAUUGACGGGGUCAUAGCUGUUUCCU